GGCUCAGAUUGAACGCUGGCGGCAGGCUUAACACAUGCAAGUCGAGCGGGGGAAGGUAGCUUGCUACCGGACCUAGCGGCGGACGGGUGAGUAAUGCUUAGGAAUCUGCCUAUUAGUGGGGGACAACAUCUCGAAAGGAAUGCUAAUACCGCAUACGUCCUACGGGAGAAAGCAGGGGAUCUUCGGACCUUGCGCUAAUAGAUGAGCCUAAGUCGGAUUAGCUAGUUGGUGGGGUAAAGGCCUACCAAGGCGACGAUCUGUAGCGGGUCUGAGAGGAUGAUCCGCCACACUGGGACUGAGACACGGCCCAGACUCCUACGGGAGGCAGCAGUGGGGAAUAUUGGACAAUGGGGGGAACCCUGAUCCAGCCAUGCCGCGUGUGUGAAGAAGGCCUUAUGGUUGUAAAGCACUUUAAGCGAGGAGGAGGCUACUUUAGUUAAUACCUAGAGAUAGUGGACGUUACUCGCAGAAUAAGCACCGGCUAACUCUGUGCCAGCAGCCGCGGUAAUACAGAGGGUGCGAGCGUUAAUCGGAUUUACUGGGCGUAAAGCGUGCGUAGGCGGCUUAUUAAGUCGGAUGUGAAAUCCCCGAGCUUAACUUGGGAAUUGCAUUCGAUACUGGUGAGCUAGAGUAUGGGAGAGGAUGGUAGAAUUCCAGGUGUAGCGGUGAAAUGCGUAGAGAUCUGGAGGAAUACCGAUGGCGAAGGCAGCCAUCUGGCCUAAUACUGACGCUGAGGUACGAAAGCAUGGGGAGCAAACAGGAUUAGAUACCCUGGUAGUCCAUGCCGUAAACGAUGUCUACUAGCCGUUGGGGCCUUUGAGGCUUUAGUGGCGCAGCUAACGCGAUAAGUAGACCGCCUGGGGAGUACGGUCGCAAGACUAAAACUCAAAUGAAUUGACGGGGGCCCGCACAAGCGGUGGAGCAUGUGGUUUAAUUCGAUGCAACGCGAAGAACCUUACCUGGCCUUGACAUACUAGAAACUUUCCAGAGAUGGAUUGGUGCCUUCGGGAAUCUAGAUACAGGUGCUGCAUGGCUGUCGUCAGCUCGUGUCGUGAGAUGUUGGGUUAAGUCCCGCAACGAGCGCAACCCUUUUCCUUACUUGCCAGCAUUUCGGAUGGGAACUUUAAGGAUACUGCCAGUGACAAACUGGAGGAAGGCGGGGACGACGUCAAGUCAUCAUGGCCCUUACGGCCAGGGCUACACACGUGCUACAAUGGUCGGUACAAAGGGUUGCUACACAGCGAUGUGAUGCUAAUCUCAAAAAGCCGAUCGUAGUCCGGAUUGGAGUCUGCAACUCGACUCCAUGAAGUCGGAACCGCUAGUAAUCGCGGAUCAGAAUGCCGCGGUGAAUACGUUCCCGGGCCUUGUACACACCGCCCGUCACACCAUGGGAGUUUGUUGCACCAGAAGUAGCUAGCCUAACUGCAAAGAGGGCGGUUACCACGGUGUGGCCGAUGACUGGGGUGAAGUCGUAACAAGGUAGCCGUAGGGGAACCUGCGGU
rnacentral:rRNA from 1 species